AAAACAAAGAAGAGAAAUCGGACAAGGAGGGGAAAAAUUCACUCCUUGAAAUUUCAUCUCUAAAAUUAUAAUUUCUUGGUAUUUCCACUAAAUCAAGGGUCCUCUAUAACAUGGUAAAUUUAUUUUGGAAGAUAGAAGGCUUGUUUGGUUGAUUUGAAGCUUUGGUAAAGUGAAGAAGUUGGAAGGAAAAGAUUUUGGAGGAAACGGAAAUUGAACUUGGACAACCGUAGAAGGCCAAAAAGGUACCGAAGUUCGAUUUGCUGAUCCACCUGUUUAGGACAUCUGCUGUGUUAUUGACAGUGCUCUCUUGUUCGGAGCUUGUAUUUUGGUACUGACUUUAUCUCUGUAUAUUUGGAUAUUUUGGUCAGGGGUACGACGGGACCCUGUCCCGUCAUAUGACUAUGCUAUCAUCUGUAGAGGUCUGUAGACAGAGUUAUGUUGUGGGUUUUGUAUAUAUAGUUUGGGUUUUGUGUGUUU